rnacentral:rRNA from 1 species
GAUGAACGCUGGCGGCGUGCCUAAUACAUGCAAGUCGAGCGAACAGACGAGGAGCUUGCUCCUCUGACGUUAGCGGCGGACGGGUGAGUAACACGUGGAUAACCUACCUAUAAGACUGGGAUAACUUCGGGAAACCGGAGCUAAUACCGGAUAAUAUAUUGAACCGCAUGGUUCAAUAGUGAAAGACGGUUUUGCUGUCACUUAUAGAUGGAUCCGCGCCGCAUUAGCUAGUUGGUAAGGUAACGGCUUACCAAGGCAACGAUGCGUAGCCGACCUGAGAGGGUGAUCGGCCACACUGGAACUGGGACACGGUCCAGACUCCUACGGGAGGCAGCAGUAGGGAAUCUUCCGCAAUGGGCGAAAGCCUGACGGAGCAACGCCGCGGGAGUGAUGAAGGUCUUCGGAUCGUAAAACUCUGUUAUUAGGGAAGUACAAAUGUGUAAGUAACUAGGCACGACUUGACGGUACCUAAUCAGAAAGCCACGGCUAACUACGUG